GGUAGCGUGGCCGAGUGGUCUAAGGCGCUGGGUUUAAGUAUGUCUACUCGACUUCCAGUGGGGUCAAACCCGCGUGAGUUCGAACCUCACCGCUACCA